rnacentral:tRNA from 1 species
CAAAAUGUAGCUUAACCAAAGCAUUCCGCUUACACCGAAAUGACACCCGUGAGACCCUGGUCAUUUUGA